rnacentral:lncRNA from 1 species
AUGUAUGAAACCAUGAACUCCCAAUAGUGGAUGCAAGCGGUUGUUUGUAAUGUAAUAGACCAUCCAAGCUUGCCUUGCAACUACAACAACAAGAACAGAAAUGCAUCACCUCUAUUGAUCUCUCUCUAGACUCUUUAGGUGCAUCUCACAUAGAUAGUCAUCAUAGCCUCCCCAAGCCCUCGACCACCUCUCCGAGCCCCCACCCUUAUCCGAGCCCAGUCUGAAAACUAGGAGUAUAAUUUUUUAAAAAAAUAAAAACUUAAAAAUAGUACUUAAAUCAGAGAACAAUAAAGUAAACAAGGAAAAGAGGAAAAGAAGACGGC